GCAUCAGUGGUUUAGUGGUAAAAUCCAUCUUUCCCAAGGAUGGGCCCCGUGUUCGAUUCACGGCUGAUGCA